rnacentral:rRNA from 1 species
AUUGAACGCUGGCGGCAGGCCUAACACAUGCAAGUCGAGCGGAUGAAGGGAGCUUGCUCCUGGAUUCAGCGGCGGACGGGUGAGUAAUGCCUAGGAAUCUGCCUGGUAGUGGGGGAUAACGUCCGGAAACGGGCGCUAAUACCGCAUACGUCCUGAGGGAGAAAGUGGGGGAUCUUCGGACCUCACGCUAUCAGAUGAGCCUAGGUCGGAUUAGCUAGUUGGUGGGGUAAAGGCCUACCAAGGCGACGAUCCGUAACUGGUCUGAGAGGAUGAUCAGUCACACUGGAACUGAGACACGGUCCAGACUCCUACGGGAGGCAGCAGUGGGGAAUAUUGGACAAAGGGCGAAAGCCUGAUCCAGCCAUGCCGCGUGCGUGAAGAAGGUCUUCGGAUUGUAAAGCACUUUAAGUUGGGAGGAAGGGCAGUAAGUUAAUACCUUGCUGUUUUGACGUUACCAACAGAAUAAGCACCGGCUAACUUCGUG